UCUCGGAGCCCGAAGACACCAAUAGGGAUGGUAGAAGAGCGCCUCCACAUAGCCAUGCUCCCAUGGCUGGCCUUCGGCCACAUGAUCCCUUUCCUCCACCUCGCCGUCGCUUUGGCUACCGCCGGCCUCCGCGUCUCCUUCCUCUCCACCCCUCGAAACAUCCAACGCCUUCCCAAAAUACCCCCCCACCUAACCUCGCUCAUCACCUUCAUCCAGCUCCCCUUGCCCCGCGUCGACGGCCUCCCCGACCAAGCCGAGGCCACCGUCGACCUCCCCACCGACGAGGUCCCGCUCCUGAAGAUCGCGUACGACCUCCUCCAGAACUCCGUUAAGAAAUUCCUCGCCGAGGAAUCGCCUGACUACGUCAUCCACGACUUCCUCCAGUACUGGGCCGCCGCCGCCGCGCGAGACAUGGGCGUGCAGAGCAUCUUCUUCUCCGUCUACUCGGCCACCACCCUCGCCUUCUUCGGCCCGCCGGAGGCGUUGACGGAGGACGGCCGGAGGAAGCUCCGUCCGACUCCGGAGAGCCUGACGUCGCCGCCCGACUGGCUCCCCUCCGGCUCGACUGUGGCGUUCCGCCGCCGGGAGGCGGAGGUGUUCUACUCGGCCGCCUUCACCAUGAAUUCUUCGGGAAUCACCGAUAUCGACCGGUUCCGUUUGGUCGUUGAGUCAUGCACCGCCGUCGCCAUCCGGACCUGCCCCGAGUAUGAGGGCGAUUAUCUGGAAAUUGUCCGAAGGCUAUACCGGAAGCCAGUGAUCCCCGUCGGCCUGAUCUUACCGUCCCCACCGGCGGCCGGCGGCGAAGAGGGGGACGAUAGGUGGGCCCGGGUAUUCAGGUGGCUCGACUCCCAGACCCCGAAGUCGGUAGUGUUCGUCAGCUUUGGAAGCGAGUACAAGAUGGAGAGACGUGAACUCCAUGAGCUGGCCCAUGGCCUCGAGCUCGCCAACGUGCCUUUCUUGUGGGUCCUACGGAGGCCUUCUUGGUGCAAUGGCAGUGAUGAAGAGGCGCUUCCAGCAGGGUUCAUAGACCGGACGAAGAGCCGUGGGACUCUGUGCUUUGGUUGGGCUCCUCAGCUUGAGAUCUUGGCCCAUCCUUCCGUAGGAGGAUCUCUGUUUCACUCUGGAUGGGGAUCUAUUAUAGAGACUCUUCGCCAUGGGCAUACAUUGGUUGUCCUGCCGUGUAUGGUUGAUCAGAGUCUUAACGCCAGGUUGUUAGUGGAGAAGGGCAUUGCAGUCGAGGUGGAGCGACAGGAUGAUGGUUCCUUCACUAGGGAUGGGAUCGUGAAGGCUUUGGAUGUGGCGAUGGUUUCUGGCCAAGGGGAGGAGUUGAGAACAAAGACGAGAGAGAUGGCAACUCUAUUUGCUGAUCAAGAGCUUGAUGACAAGUAUGUAAGGGAAUUUGUUGACUACCUCCUUAAGGCAGUUGACGCCAACUAGUAAAUCAGGGACCUCACUUUCUUCCAGGGAACAAAAAAAAGAUAAAUAAAUAAAACAUGAGUGCUUGGAGCUAUAUAUUGCCGCUGCCUCCACUCCAAAUUCCAUGUAUUGAAAUUAAAUGAGCAAAUGCAGUACAGCUUUCGAUGGUUGCUAUUAGAAGAUGGGUAGAACUUCCGCAAGGAUGGAUUACAUCAUAAACGGUGUAUAUUAUUUGAUGGCCGUCCAUCUUUUAAUAAUGGCUAGUGAGGGCUGUACAGAACUUUCCGAUGUCAUUUGCACACUCUAGAGGAUUUUGGUUUUGGUUUAACUAUUGGUUUAGAAUGUUUUGAUACACCUAGCAAAGAAGACAGUCUAUAACUCAUCAAAUGAAAGUAACAACUCAUGCACUACGAUGCGUGCUCCAAUUACAUCCGGCAAAUGGGUUAAGCUAAUAGUAGCUCUAAAAUUGCUGAGAAUAUCAAGGUGCCAUUCCGCCAGAGCAAAAACUCUGAAUAUUGAUUAUCCGAUAGCAACAUUUGGCAUGGAUUAAUGCACACGAAGAGGUGGUGAUGCCCGAUUUUAUCAGGUAGCAAAUCUGAUUGCUUAUUAAAUAGGUCAAAAACUCAAAUAUGAACCUGACAUAUUUACUAAACUAUAUGUAUAAAUAAAAAAUAAUUAACCUAUCAUGGUCCAUAUAAUUCAUUUAUUAAACAGGUCAAGUUAGAUUAAAAAGGUUAAACAAGCUAAACCGAAUUAAUAGGUUAAACGAGUUGGAUUGAAUAGAUUAGAAAUAGGUUAAUCAGAUUUUAAACAAGCUGAAUAUAUUUUAAACAAAUUAAAUAGAUCAGAUUAUAAUCUGACUCAAUUAUUAAAUGAGGUAAUCAUAUCAAAAAUCCAAACAUGAAUUUAACCUGUUUAAUAAAUAGGUCUAAAUGGAUUGAUCUAUUUAUGACCUAAACUCAUUUAUAUUAAACCCUAACCUGCUUAAAAUGGAUUGUUUAUAGAUUGGAUUGAUAGAUUGGGUCAUAAAUUGCUACCCUUAGUAGCAAGAUAAUGUAGGAUACUUUACAUUCAUCUUGGAAGCCUUGAACCAUGAAUCAGAUAGAGUUGAAAUGCAAAAGCUUGCAUCCAUCCUGCUAUGCAAUUUUUUUUGAGCUAGUGUCAUGUCUUAGUUAAUUAGAUCUUGUAAUGUUACAGUAUAAUAGAUAAAUAAAAAAAAUUUGGGAGAAGGUUUCGCUUUAGUCCAUUUGUGGAUCUUAUAAAUAAGUUAUAUGUCAUUUUGUAUCUUAAGGUGUAAUCACUUUUCUUCGUCAGCAUCUAUUUAAUAAACUUUCUCAACGAGCAGAUCGAGCUUCGCCCAAGAUAUCACAUCAUUUAGUUAAGCUUGGAUUGACUUGGCCUAACAUUUAGGCCAACUUCCUAGGCUCAAGCAUGCUACUUAUCGAGCUUCAAGCUUCUUGAUUUCUUAUUCCUAUUCAAAAUCCAAUGAUGGGGAGCAGCUUGGGGGAGAGGACCUCGUGCUAACCAUGGGGCUAGAAAGAGGGGCCCUAGAUCUUGGCAAAGGGCAUGGUAGAUGCCAUGAUUUUCGAUAGUGGUGUGUUAGUCAUGGCUGAAGAGGAUGCUGCUGAGGUGGAGCAUGGCAUAGGGCAUGUUGAUCGGUGUCGAUCUCGAUGAGAUCCAUGUUGAUAUCCCAUUUGUAGAGAAUGGCGAGGGUGGAUUCGGUAGAGAAGAUGAGAGGGAUGAUACGGUCGGCCUCGUCAGUAAUGAUGAUGGAAAGCAUGAAUUGGGGGAGGAAGAGGACGUUGGCAUCGAAGGGCAAGGGACAUCAUAGAGGAAGCAACGACAAAAGCCUAACCAGCAACGAAGACGACAAUGAGCAUGAACUAGUGGAGGAAGAGGGCAUUGAUGUGCAGGAGUAGCGGGACAUAACAGUGGAAGCCUAACCAACCACGAAAGUCGUUGAGGUAGAGAAUGAGCGGGGGAAAGGAGAAGUUUUAGGAGAGUGGGAGGAGGUAGAGGAGAUGAUGGUGGAGAGAAAGCGAAGGGUACUAUAGCUAAAAGAGAACAGGAGACGAGAGGAGGAGACUAGCAAUAACCUUAGCUGCCAUUGCCUCCUUCCUUAAUCAAAGUAGGGCUCAAGUUAUAUAAAAAUAAAAAAUCAAAAUCAAAAUCGGGCUAGAUUGUGGAGCAUGGACUUAGAGCAAAACCAAAACUAAGUUACACAAAAAAAAAAAAAUCAAAAUUGGACAUAGGUUGGUGGGCUUAGAGCUUAUAUGUAAUAUAUAUGUUAUAUAAAUAACUGAGCUCGAACCAGAUCGAUGUAUACACGAGUUUAGCCUUUUUAAUAGGCAGAAUCAAAUUUGAAAUCCGUUCGAGCUCAUUAGACUUAAAAAUGAGUUAAUAUCCAUUCAAAAUAAUAUAAGUUCAGGCAUGUCCAAUAAGCUAGUGGACUUAAACAAAUCUAUUAGUUACUACUAGAGAUCAUUGCAGUUGAGACAAAUCAAGUAGCUAGAGGCUCGAGCUCGACUCGAUUCAAAUUUUUUAAGCUCCAAACUUGAGAUUGAUCAAGCCUUAAUAUCUGAGCUUAAGCUUGACUCGAUUAAAAAAGGAACAAUAUUGAAGAUUAACUCAAAUCAACUCAAAUAUCAACCAAGUCUUACUGGAGCUUGAGUUUGAGUUCUAGCUCGAAUUUGAGCCUUAAUCAUUAUUGACUUUUAAAAGUCAAAAGUUAGAUCAAACUAAAGAAAUAUAAAUAUUAAUUUUAAAAUACUAAAUUAAUAGAGUAAAACAUAAAUUUUUUUUUGAGGUUUACAUUUAUUAUACUUACAUCUAAUAAUUUGUAAAAUCUAUACUUACAUUGAAUUAAAUUAAUGACAUUAGUGAAAUUAUUUAUCUCACCUGAAAAGUUGAAAUUGUCCUUAGGUGGAGAGGACAAUGCACAUAUUUUAUUAUAUCUUUGGUUGGUUGUUAUAUCACUUUACAUUAUUUUGGUUAUUUUUAAAAUUUUCUUUGACAUGGUAUAUGGGUCUCAUAAGAUUAAUUAUUUGCCUAGUGUUCUUUUACAUUAUAAGUUAAAAUGCUUGAUAACAAAAAAUCUCAAAAGGAUAAGUAUAGGUUUUUCAAACUUUUGGAUGCAAGUACAAUUUAUUCCUAAUCUCAAUUAGGCUUUAAUAAUUUACUCAAGUUGAUAAUAUAUAUUAUAAAUAAAAUAUAAAAUUAGUAAAAAUAAUAUAGUAAAUUAGGUUUGCAAGCUUUUGAGCUGAAUAUUUGGCUGUUUGAGCUUUUGACUCAAAUUCGGUGAUAGUUGAAUCAAAAUGAGCUUGGAUUUGAGUCAGCCCAAGUAGUUUGCAUCCCUAAUUUUCACUAGUUUGUACUCUUGUUGAAACUCUAUUUGGCUUGUUUUCUUAAGUUGUUCUUUCUUUAGAUGCCACUUUACACUCUUGUGGAGAACCUCACCAAUAAGUGGUAGGUUGAAACCACAGCCUGGAGGGCAUUUAGGUCGGGUUGGCAGAGGAUCGUGUUGUAUGUCGAUGGGGCUCAGAUGACAAGAUAGUCAAGCUGCACUUUCGUAUGUCGUGAUCGUCAGCCAGCUAUAAUCAAGAGUGUUAUGACCCCCUCAAUAGGAGUUGCAUCCUUUGACAAGCAGGGAAUCAACUUUUGCCAACCAAUUUGAGGAAAAUUUCAUUUUAGAGAAGGCAUUACAAAACAAGAUAUCGACAGAUCUUCUAUUAUUGACUAAGAUGUAGUGUACAUCAUAAUUAUCUAUAUUUAAAGUUACAAUAACCGUAUAAUUAUGCAGAGAUUAAAUUCUCUAUGCAUUUUCAUUGAAGAAGGUGAUGAUGUCUUCGGCCUUUUGCUUCUUGGUCAAUGAUUCUUUUGCCCACCAUUUGUAUACCUUGGUAUGUCUACCGAUUUGCCCCUGAUUAUGGUGCUAAUGACACCCACGGCAGGCCAGUUAUCAAAAUUUCCUUCAAGUUGGGGCUGCUCAGGUCGUGUCUUAUUUCGUUUCUGCCGAUCUCUGAGGUACUUAUCAAGGUGCCUAUGAUUUCGAUGGUACGAUAGUACUUUCUUAGAUCAUGUUGGAUCGAGAGGUUGCACAUCCUCUUCGAUCUUGAUAGCUAUCCAUUGCCCUUGAUUUCCAUUAAGAUCUAGGUCUUGGGGGUGUUCAGGGAAGUAUAAGUGGCAAACCACCUCGGUAGAGAAUGUGACUGCCAACCUCAGGGUAGGGUCCUGGAUCGGUGAGCUCGUGGGAGAGUUCGAGACCUUCACGAACUCCUUCCUCGUCAGUCCUCAUACUUCAGCUUGUCUUUCUUCUUUGAUUCCCUCCUUUUGCUCUAUGGAUCUCCUCUUUAGAGAGCUUCUAUGUAGUUCAUAGGCUUUCUUGGCAUUGGCACAUUUUUCUAUCUGAACUAACAUCUCAACAAAAACCUUUAGAUAUAUCUUCUCUAAAAAAAAAAACUUGUAUUGGCAUAUUUCUCUAUCCAAGCUAACAUCUCAACAAAGGCCUUCAGAUAUACCUUUUCUAAAGGGAAAAGAAACUUGCACUUCAGAAAUCCUCCUUUUCGAGCCGACAUAGCAACUGAUUGAUCAAUGUCAUACUUCUCUAUCUGAGCUAACAUCUUGGCAAAGGCCUUCGGAUAUAUUUUUUUUAAAGAGAAAAGAAACUUGCACUUUAGAAGUCCUUUUCAAGCCGACAUAGUGACUGAUUGAUCAAUGUUAUAUACUUCCAGUGUAGCCGUAUUAAAGUAGCUUACAUAGUACUUGAGGGACUCUCCUUCCCUUUGUUUAAUGCUCACCAAGGAGUCGAACCCACGGUAUUGUCAUUGGCUACUAAUGAAAUGAACUAUGAAUGGCCGGCCUAGUUGCUUGAAGGAGUGGAUUAAGCUUUGCUGCAGGCUUGAGUACCAAUACCGAGCUACCUUUUGUAGGUUGGAAGAGAAAGCUUGGUAGAAGAUUCCAUCAGUUGCCCCAUAUAAGAGCAUGAGUACCUUGAAGCUUUCCAAAUGAUUCAUUGGGUUGGUCGCUCCAUCGUACACUUCAGCUAUGGCAUUUUGAAGUUGUGUGAGAUUGGUUCAUCCAUAAUUUUUCUACUGAUCAAGAGUAUGUGACAUUAAUGUUGAUCUCCCUAUCUUGUGCUAUCGCUUGACCCCAUAGUGCAUCGAUCUACCAGUGCAUCUCCUGGAGCUUGUGAUCUACAUUGACAUCUCAGGUGGUAUAGUAUUGGGAGUGCUGAGGUGGCGAUCUCCUUGUGGGGGUUCUUUUCCCGACUGAGGGGUCAACGAACACCUUUGAUGACCCAUUCCGAACUCCUUGGUUGGCUAUGCCGAUUCUGCUACGCUCGAUUUAAAUGCAGGAAGGCAGCUGAGAUUGCUAGUAUUGCUGAUGUACUUGUUGCAGACUCAGCUAUGGGGUUGUGGCCGCCUGCUGGAUUGCUUGGAUGACUAUCGUUAGAGUUUGAGCCUACUAUAUAUAUAAGCAGAUUGAAUUAUUCGGAGGUCACCCUUGGAGCCUACUGAGGGGAUGGAGGUUGAUUCUCAGGUCAUGGAGGUGGUGCCUCAACUUGGGGCGAUACCUUGGUCGGUUGGGACUGCACCUCGGUUGGAUGAGGUACAGUUUUGUUGGACCAUCGUGAGACGUUUGAUCUUCCUCUCUAUGAUCUCAUGCUUGCAAACUUUUCUUCACUUCUGAGCAGGUCUGGAUGCUUCUUCUAGUGCCAAUUUAUUAUUAUUGGCAACCAACUUGGCACUGGAAUGGACAGAUCUGGGAUAGUUAGAGCUUGAUUUUAUAUCGAUGAGAGAGAACCUACAAAUCAAGUUCUUAACCAAAGUUGUUUUUCAUGAGAACCCUUCGAUGCUUUAGUCAAUCACCAGAGUACAGUAGAAAGAAAAAAGAGAGUUUUAUAUGCGAGCUUAUCUGGAUGUCCCUUAUGCCCUCUUAUUCAGAGGUGAGGUGACCGGUUAGCUAAUUUUGCAAGAAAGGACAUGAGUGGUAAAAAGGAUCGUAUUUCUUCUAUCUUAUCUGGCUAUGAUGAGUUGUUUUCCGUUUGAUUUGAAAUAUAUCUAGAAUGUAAGAUAAAUUAAGCAAUUACUGAUCAACCAACAACCAUCGUUGCAAUCAACAACCGUCGUUGCAAAUCUCGGCUUUUUAUCUUGGCUCGAUAUGACCCGAUCCGAUUAGGUCAGCAGACAGCCAAGUUUCAAAUAGCAUCAGAUAUAGUUGAGAUAAACUAUUAUCCCAUAUCAAUUACCAAAUAUUUAGUACCGUUUUUCUCUUCUCAUACCAAAUUAUCUGUGGUCCAAAGUGGAUCAGGUUCGAUCAAUAAUUUCUCACAAAAAUGUGGCUAGGAGUUGCCCGUUGGCUUAAAUAACCGUUGUUUUUGGUCGAUCGAUCUGAUCCACUGGUUCUGUUGGCAACGGUCCCACCGCGACCACGAACCCAGGCCACGUGCAUAUUAUCCGUGUAGAUUCCCUCGCAUCUCGCACCUCAUGUUUCUCUAUCUUCCCGAGGGACUCCGCUCAUCCCGCGGCAAGGGCCCAGCCAUCACCAUCAACUUUGCCAAGGGUUGGCACCAGUGGGCGCCCACAAGUAAUUAGACCCCGCGAGGCCGUCUAUUUAGGCCCCGCCAUCAUUACGGCUUGCGACACGCAAAACUCUUCUCGGAGCCCGAAGACACCAAUAGGGAUGGUAGAAGAGCGCCUCCACAUAGCCAUGCUCCCAUGGCUGGCCUUCGGCCACAUGAUCCCUUUCCUCCACCUCGCCGUCGCUUUGGCUACCGCCGGCCUCCGCGUCUCCUUCCUCUCCACCCCUCGAAACAUCCAACGCCUUCCCAAAAUACCCCCCCACCUAACCUCGCUCAUCACCUUCAUCCAGCUCCCCUUGCCCCGCGUCGACGGCCUCCCCGACCAAGCCGAGGCCACCGUUGACCUCCCCACCGAUGAGGUCCCGCUCCUGAAGAUCGCGUACGAC
rnacentral:lncRNA from 1 species